GGCCUAACACAUGCAAGUCGGACGGGAUUGAGAAGCUUGCUUUUCAUGAGAGUGGCGCACGGGUGCGUAACACGUAUGUAACCUACCUUGUUCAGGGGGAUAGCCUCUCGAAAGAGAGAUUAAGACCGCAUAACAUUAUUGAAUAGCAUUAUUUAAUAAUCAAAUAUUUAUAGGAACAAGAUGGGCAUGCGGAACAUUAGCUAGUUGGUGAGGUAACUGCUCACCAAGGCUACGAUGUUUAGGGGAUCUGAGAGGAUGACCCCCCACACUGGUACUGAGACACGGACCAGACUCCUACGGGAGGCAGCAGUAAGGAAUAUUGGUCAAUGGGCGCAAGCCUGAACCAGCCAUGCCGCGUGCAGGAAGACGGCCCUACGGGUUGUAAACUGCUUUUAUACCGGAAUAAACCUCGAUUCGUGAAUUGAGCUGAAUGUACGGUAAGAAUAAGGAUCGGCUAACUCCGUGCCAGCAGCCGCGGUAAUACGGAGGAUCCAAGCGUUAUCCGGAUUUAUUGGGUUUAAAGGGUGCGUAGGUGGCUUUUUAAGUCAGGGGUGAAAGACGGUAGCUUAACUAUCGCAGUGCCCUUGAUACUGAAGAGCUUGAAUACACUAGAGGUAGGCGGAAUGUGACAAGUAGCGGUGAAAUGCAUAGAUAUGUCACAGAACACCAAUUGCGAAGGCAGCUUACUAUGGUGUCAUUGACACUGAGGCACGAAAGCGUGGGGAUCAAACAGGAUUAGAUACCCUGGUAGUCCACGCCCUAAACGAUGAAUACUCGAUGUUGGCGAUAUACGGUCAGCGUCUAAGCGAAAGCGUUAAGUAUUCCACCUGGGGAGUACGCCCGCAAGGGUGAAACUCAAAGGAAUUGA
rnacentral:rRNA from 1 species